rnacentral:rRNA from 1 species
UACGUAGGGUGCGAGCGUUAUUCGGAUUUACUGGGCGUAAAGCGCACGUAGGCGGAUUGUUAAGUCAGGGGUGAAAUCCUGGAGCUCAACUCCAGAACUGCCUUUGAUACUGGCGAUCUUGAGUCCGGGAGAGGUGAGUGGAACUGCGAGUGUAGAGGUGAAAUUCGUAGAUAUUCGCAAGAACACCAGUGGCGAAGGCGGCUCACUGGCCCGGUACUGACGCUGAGGUGCGAAAGCGUGGGGAGCAAGCAGG